rnacentral:rRNA from 1 species
UAUCGCUGUUCCCUCUCUCCUCUAUCGCUCCGUCUCUCUCCUUGUGCGCGAGCCCGCCGCCUCCGCUAAGGAAAGACAAGUACAGCUAAGAGUUUAGGGGGUGGGCACCUCGAACUAAGGAAAGGUUAAAGAGAAACUAAGAGCGGAGGACGCCAACCAACCAGAGAGUAAAAGAGAGCGCUCGCGUACAAAAAACAAGUAAAGAGCCACAUAUCCAAGGUCUAGAUCCUCCAGUCAAACGACUACACUAAAACAAUCCCAAGCACCAUCCACACACAACACAAGGUCCCGGCACCACGACAUCUAAGUACCAUCCACGAACAUCAAAAACACCAAGCAAUACCAAGUGCAACAGGGCGGUAUCAAGGAACAGACGAAGCACAACAGGCGGUAACUCAAGAAGGAGACGAGCACCAUCCAAGUACGCACUGAUCAAACACUAAGUCUAUCUACAUACCUAGUCAAAACACAACCAUCCACCAAGCGAACUAACGACCGUCUACCCACAAACGGGAGGAGACCGGCACAACCAAGAUCCCAGACAUAUACAAACCUAAAGCCAUCCAAAUAUACAUCAAUCCAAGGAGGAUACGGGAGACAACGUCCAGGGGAAAACAGGACGUUCACGUAUACAAGGAGCAUCAAAUCUACAUGAAUCCAAGGAGGAUCAACGGACCCCCACAAAAAAUACACGAAGACGUUACAUAAGAAAAAUUCGAAAGACGUUACGGGGACCAUUGACACAUAGACUACGUCCAAACAUAGAAAACCAACACGGCUCACAACUACACAUUGGGAUCUCAAAGUCACCGUAUGUAAUCUUAAUGACACAUAAAAAACGGACUCAGAAUGAACGAUUAGGGGAGUCAAAGUCACAUUAUAUGGUACGUUUAACGUAACAUCAAUGAUACAUUAAGUCGGGUAUGUCGGGUAUCAAAGUUACAAAAAAGUGAGAUCUUAAUGAUCUUAAAAUAACACAUAAAAAACACAGUCUGAAUGACACAUUAGGGGUAUCAAAGUUACAUUAUAUGAUACGUUUAACGUGCCAUCAAUGAUACAUUAAGUCGGAUAUCAAAGUCACAAAGAGAGAGAGAUCUUAAUCAUCAAAAAUGACACAUAAAACGGUGUAAAAAUGACACAUUAAGUAGUACAUCAAAGUCACAUUAAAUGACACAUUGAGUAGUACAUCAAAGUCACAUUAAAAUGAUAUCUUAAUGAUACAUAGAAACAUCAACAGUCACAUUAAGUUAUAUCUUAAUGACACAUUAAGUAGGACGUCAAAGUCACAUUAAGUUAUAUCUUAAAUGACACAUUAAAGUAGUACGUCAAAGUCACAUUAAGUUAUAUCUUAAAUGACACAUUAAGUAGAAACAUCAACAUUAAGUAGAAACAUCAACAGCCCACAUUAAGUUAUAUCUGAAUGACACAUUGAGUACAACAUCACAAUGACACAUUAAACGGGUUCUUAAUGACACAUUAAGUAGAACAUCGAAGUUACCUUAAUUAGACAUAAAUAAAAAGGGUUAUUGAUAACACAUUAAGUAGUACAUCAAAGUUACAUUAAACAGGAAUCAAGGUCACAUUAAAUGUGCUCAAUGACACAUAAAAAUUACAAAAAUCGAUACAUUAGGGACUGUGUAAAUAUACCGGGGACUAAGAUCACAUUAAAGGGGAUCUUAAUACUACCAAAUGUAACAUAGAUGUCACAUAUAAGGGGGUAAAAACGUCACAUAAAUGUAACUAAAGUCAAUACAUUAAGGACUUAAAACCGAAGAAAAAUAAAUAAAAGUAAUUAAGGGGUGAACAACGUGAAGUAUCAAUAAGACCAGUGGAGUAACAAGGAGAAAAACGAACAACAAGAACUACGACGAUCACGACGGUGACUCUUAGGUCGCUAAAACCUCAUCUUCAACUAUAUAAGGACCGGAAGAAGGAAACAAAACUUAACGUACGGAUCCACACCGAACUUCAACGACGAUCACAAGUAGUUUAACGGAAGACUACGUCGGAGAACAAGUAAAACGUCCUUAGAAAGUCACAGAAGAAGCAGUUCCAUAAGCAACAGUAGAACAAGUAAAGUACCACGGUUUGUCCAGACGUACGGUGCCCAAUACGAGAAGACGUGGAAGAAGUAAAGCACAUCGAAGCAAAAGGUCAAGAAGUUUACAGACGUGUUCUUAUGAUUUCACGAGCUAGACGAAUCGUCUGAUAGUUCGUCUACUCGCCGAAGUCUCUUAUGGGGGAACACCAGUGUGGAAGGUAUAGCUAACGUAACUGGUGACCAAAAGAUUCUUGUGAUGAACGGGAGAAACGGCUCAUAGCGAGGACUGACGGGGGUCUCGACGGUCGCAGCGAGGUUGGCUAGACCUUUGUGUUCGGUAGCUUCUCCUGACGAGAAGUUUACGCGUCGUAGUACACCCGGAAUCUCUACUCGUGUGCGCUGGCCUCCUAGUCCGUCACCUGCCGUCCUAGUCACUGCCGGGUAGUGUCGUCUGAUUGCACCUUCGUAGUCAACAACAUCAGUAGCGCUGAGUUUGUCGUCCCAGAGGUUCAAGAACGGUGAACAGACUGCACAUU